rnacentral:rRNA from 1 species
AACGAACGCUGGCGGCAUGCCUAACACAUGCAAGUCGAACGAGGCCUUCGGGUCUAGUGGCGCACGGGUGCGUAACGCGUGGGAACCUGCCCUUAGGUUCGGAAUAACUCCCCGAAAGGGGUGCUAAUACCGGAUAAUGUCUUCGGACCAAAGAUUUAUCGCCUUUGGAUGGGCCCGCGUUGGAUUAGCUAGUUGGUAGGGUAAAAGCCUACCAAGGCGACGAUCCAUAGCUGGCCUGAGAGGAUGAUCAGCCACACUGGGACUGAGACACGGCCCAGACUCCUACGGGAGGCAGCAGUGGGGAAUAUUGGACAAUGGGCGAAAGCCUGAUCCAGCAAUGCCGCGUGAGUGAUGAAGGCCUUAGGGUUGUAAAGCUCUUUUACCCGGGAUGAUAAUGACAGUACCGGGAGAAUAAGCUCCGGCUAACUCCGUG